UACGUAGGGGGCAAGCGUUGUCCGGAAUCAUUGGGCGUAAAGAGCGUGUAGGCGGCCCGGUAAGUCCGCUGUGAAAGUCCAGGGCUCAACCCUGGGAUGCCGGUGGAUACUGUCGGGCUCGAGUCCGGAAGAGGAGUGUGGAAUUCCUGGUGUAGCGGUGAAAUGCGCAGAUAUCAGGAGGAACACCGGUGGCGAAGGCGGAUCUCUGGGCCGUAACUGACGCUGAGGAGCGAAAGCAUGGGGAGCGAACAGG
rnacentral:rRNA from 1 species